CUACGGGUUGCAGCAGUGGGGAAUAUUGCACAAUGGAGGAAACUCUGAUGCAGCCAUGCCGCGUGUGUGAAGAAGGCCCGAGGGUUGGAAAGCAAUUUCAAUUGGGAGGAAGGUUAGUAAGUUAAUACCUUGCUAGCUUGACGUUACCUUUAGAAGAAGCACCGGCUAACUCUGUGCCAGCAGCCGCGGUAAUACAGAGGGUGCAAGCGUUAUUCGGAAUUACUGGGCGUAAAGCGCGCGUAGGCGGACUGUUAAGUCGGUUGUGAAAGCCCUGGGCUCAACCUAGGAACUGCAUCCGAUACUGGCAAUCUAGAGUUUAAGAGAGGGAAGUGGAAUUCCAGGUGUAGCAGUGAAAUGCGUAGAUAUCUGGAGGAACAUCAGUGGCGAAGGCGACUUCCUGGCUUAAAACUGACGCUGAGGUGCGAAAGCGUGGGUAGCGAACGGGAUUAGAUACCCUAGUAGUC
rnacentral:rRNA from 1 species